rnacentral:rRNA from 1 species
AAAUCUGGCCCUCGGGCCCGAAUUGUAAUCUGCAGAUGAGUCUUCCGGCAGAGCGCCGUCCAAGUGCCCUGGAACGGGCCGCCGGAGAGGGUGAGAGCCCCGUACCGACGUGCGCCGCGCCUCUGUGAAGCUCAUUCGAAGAGUCGAGUAGUUUGGAAAUGCUGCUCUAAUUGUGGGGUAAAUCUCCCAUAAGGCUAAAUACCGGCCAGAGACCGAUAGCGCACAAGUAGCGUGAGCGAAAGAUGAAAAGAGCCUUGAACAAGGGCGUCAAAAAGCAUGUGAAAUUGUUGUGGGGGAAGCGUUCGAUGCCAGACGUGGCGGCGGUUGGUUACCCGGCGUUCUUCGCCGGCGCACUCUGCCGUCGCCAGGCCAGCAUCAGUUCGGCUCGAGGCCCACCGCCGGCGGGAAUGUGGCUCCCCUCGGGGAGUGUUAUAGCCCGUCGGUACCGUCUCGGACCGGACUGAGGACCGCGCUUCGGCUCGGAUGCUGGCGUAAUGGCUUCUAGCGACCCGUCUUGAAACACGGACCAAGGAGUUGACCUAGCCUGCGAGUGUUUGGGUGUCAAGCCCUUACGCGCAGUGAAAGCGAAUGCAGGUGGGAGCCUCGGCGCACCAUCGACCGAUCCUGAAGUUUACGGAUGGAUUUGAGUAAGAGCAUGCUGGGUCUGACCCGAAAGAAGGUGAACUAUGCAUGAAUAGGGUGAAGCCAGAGGAAACUCUGGUGGAGGCUCGCAGCGG